AGCUCAAUGAGAUCUCUAGCUGUUGACUGCGGUGUGCUUUCUUAGGGUUGUAGUGAAAACGUACUUGACAGUUGAUUUCUAGGAACAGGGUUGGGCAGCCCUGGCCUAAAGGUGACGGGUCAGGACGCUCGUACAGACCUGAACUUGAGCUCCGGUGUUCAACCCAAGACGACUGCACCACAGGGCUACCCGUGCUGAUCUGAGGAGCUUCAGAGAUGCUAUGGAGGCGUGGAGAGAGACCGGAACGUUCCGCUGAGAUGGCGUCAUGAGGACAUCAGGAGGAAGACAAUGAUGAAGAUGGUGAUGAUAAUCAUAAUGAUGACAGGGACCCUUGGCUGACGGCCUUUCCAGCUGAUGAAUUUUCCGUCUGUCGUCUGUUUGGAGGCUGCGCUGCUGCUAAAGUUCUCAGCGCCGACGGUAGGGAGAGGUGGCUGGGAACCUGCUCGCCGCCGGCGCAGAAAUCCGACACCGGUAAACACGGAGCACGCAAGCACUGGAGCGCAAAGCGGGAGAUAGUAAAUAAACACGGAUAGCCGCGCGUCUCCGCGAGGGAACGGGGUGACCCACUUCGCGAGCCGAUCUCCGCGUCUCCGCCGUCGUCUCGCUGCGCUCAGGAACAGCGAGGUUUACUUUACCACGUCCUGCGAGUGAGGCUACAUGCGACUGUUCAGCCUUGUGCAAAUACACUGCCACAGUAUGCUACUUCUGGAGGCCACAGUGAGCAACAAAGAAUCAAAUGACUUUGUAUUUACAAAGAGAGAGGGGGAAUAGAGGAGAGAGUGAGAAAGCUGGACA